AUGGUGCUGGGGCAGGCCCAGACUCCCACCCUGACAGCAGGCCCGUUUCCAAAAACUCUGCUCACUUCCUCAUCCUGCUGGCUCGUGAGAAGAUCCUGUUGUCAGCUCUGCCAACCAGCACAGCAGAGGUGGGAUUGUUGCGGGCAGUUGGAAGAGAGCAGGGGAAUAACCAUUUCCCGCUUUGGCUGUUAUUUGUUGAGAAAUGCUGUCUGGUGAGUGUUGAGUCAGGGCCUGAAGCACUGAUGGAGCAUCUGGGGAAAGGACCCAGUCAGCCCUGGGAGCCCAGGUGAGGGCAGUUCAGUUGUAUGAUGGAAUGAGUGGAGCCUGGCUGCCCCUCUCUUAGACCUCACUGAAGGGCUGACCCUGCACUGGGCCAGGAUCUCUGGUUGGAGAUCCCUCCCUUGUGGAGUUUUCCCUGUGAGCCUGGAUCUUCAGGGACAGACGUCCUCUGCCCCUUCCCACCUGUAAAGCAAACAAGGCGAUGACAGAGCCUUGAUUUGAGAUAGAGGAGCUAUAGAACAGGAUAUCAAAGAAAGAGGAAUCGACUCAUCCCUCCCAGCUACAAUUUGGCAGAAAGUGGUGAGCUGAGGAAUGCAGCCUUCUGCGUUUGAACUGCGGUGUGCUGAAAGGUGUUGCCCAGCUUUUGGGGGACUUGCUGUGACCUCCCUGUCUCAGCACUGCCUUGUGCUCUGGACUUCACAGCAUCUUGAUGGUGAGUAGUGGUCCUGUGGAGAUGCUGAGCAACGAUUGUGAGCUGCGCCCUUUUCCUGGACCAGUAUCCCAAGCCCUUCUCAGCCCAGGGCCUGUCUCUCUUUCCCUGGGGUUCUGUGGAUAAGUCAGCAAGACGGGACUUUGCCAGCCACCUGGUUUCAGGUUCACCACCCCAAUGACAGCAGGGCAGUCCUGCAGCUCAUGGCAGCCCUAUGGCUCUGCUCCUUUGCCAGGCUGGAGAGCUGAAUCAGCUCCGAUUCUGCAGAUCCUUCCCUGAGUCCUGCUGCCGAGCACCGAUACUUGUGCAUCCUCUGGGCCACAUCAGGACUGGAAAGAGGAGUAGAUAUCAGGCGGAAGGAUCUGGCCUUCUGCUGGGUGAUAGCCACCUGCAUGGCCUGUUCCUGCUUUCUCUUUUCCCCAGGUGACAUUGUGCUUCCCAAGGAGUGCGUGGACCUUUCUGAUGGGAGUGAGCAGCAAGGAACUGACUGAAUCACAGAAUCAUGGAAUCACAAGGUUGGAAAUGACCUGUAAGAGUCUCAGCUAUAGAGGUCUUAUAAGGGUCUCAGCUUCCUUCCUGCCCUGUGCUUGACUGAGGGACCCUGCGACCAGCUCACGAGGUGGCCAUGGGCCCAGCUUUGCCAGCUUUCACUGCAAAAGGGAGCAGUUCAGGGAUAGACCCAGCCUGGGUGAGCCUGAGCUUGACUCUAGCAUCUGAGGGAGCUGUGGACAUCAGCUGUGGACACGACUCAUCGAGGUGUGGGUCAGCUGUGGAUGCUCAGUGUUCUUAAGCAGCCCAGCUGUAUCUCCAAGGCUUGUAGUCACAAUUUCUCUGCGAGGCUGAGAUACCCUGAGGAUCAUGGCGUCUCUCAUUUUGCUCUCCUGCCCUUGCUCACAGUCUCUGAGGAACGACUUGAGCCCUGUGACCACGUCCUUGCUCGUGUGCUGGAGUCACUUUUGUGCAUUUUGGUGUCAGGGCUCUUGGGGCAAAACGUGCCUGGACACUGCCACACGUGUAAUGCCUUUCUGCGGUGCACACUGGAGGAUGUUUUGGAUGCUGCUCUCCAGCACCCCUUUCGGAGCAGCCAGUGUGCUUCCCAUGGAUGCUUGCUGCUGCCCUGAGCCCUUUAUAACCUCAGUAGCCCCUGCUAUAAGGCAGCAUACUUGAGAACUAAAAUGGCAUGGUUUUGUAGGAGGGAGCAGGGGCUUUGUGGCAGGGAGCUGCAGGACAUCCUGGGCACAGCAUGGCCAGGUGGGAACAUCCACUGUGUGUCUGCAUUGGCUCUACAAAAUUGCCCAGGGGCACAGCAUCUCUAGCAAGAAAACCUCUGCAGCUCA